AGUAACGCGUAAACAACCUGCCCUUCGGAUGGGGAUAACAGCCGGAAACGGCUGCUAAUACCGAAUACGAUCUUUUCGUCGCAUGACGGAAAGAAGAAAGGAUGGCCUCUAUACAAAGCUAUCGCCGAAGGAGGGGUUUGCGUCUGAUUAGCUGGUUGGAGGGGUAACGGCCCAACAAGGCGAUGAUCAGUAGCCGGUCUGAGAGGAUGAACGGCCACAUUGGGACUGAGACACGGCCCAGACUCCUACGGGAGGCAGCAGCC
rnacentral:rRNA from 1 species